UACGUAGGGUCCGAGCGUUGUCCGGAAUUACUGGGCGUAAAGAGCUCGUAGGUGGUUUGUCGCGUUGUUCGUGAAAACUCACAGCUCAACUGUGGGCGUGCGGGCGAUACGGGCAGACUAGAGUACUGCAGGGGAGACUGGAAUUCCUGGUGUAGCGGUGUAAUGCGCAGAUAUCAGGAGGAACACCGGUGGCGAAGGCGGGUCUCUGGGCAGUAACUGACGCUGAGGAGCGAAAGCGUGGGGAGCGAACAGG
rnacentral:rRNA from 1 species